rnacentral:rRNA from 1 species
AAUAUUUGACACUGGGGGGAACCCUGAUCCAGCCAUGCCGCGUGUGUGAAGAAGGCCUGUUGGUGGUAAAGCACUUUAAGCGAGGAGGAGGCUACCGAGAUUAAUACUCUUGGAUAGUGGACGUUACUCGCAGACGAAGCACCGGCUAACUCUGUGCAAGCAGCCGCGGUAAUACAGAGGGUGCAAGCGUUAAUCGGAUUUACUGGGCGUAAAGCACGCGUAGGUGGCCAAUUAAGUCAAAUGUGAAAUCCCCGAGCUUAACUUGGGAAUUGCAUUCGAUACUGGUUGGCUAGAGUAUGGGAGAGGAUGGUAGAAUUCCAGGUGUAGCGGUGAAAUGCGUAGAGAUCUGGAGGAAUACCGAUGGCGAAGGCAGCCAUCUGGCCUAAUACUGACACUGAGGUGCGAAAGCAUGGGGAGCAAACAGG